GACGAACGCUGGCGGCGUGCCUAACACAUGCAAGUCGAACGGAAAGGCCCUGCUUUUGUGGGGUGCUCGAGUGGCGAACGGGUGAGUAACACGUGAGUAACCUGCCCUUGAUUUUGGGAUAACUUCAGGAAACUGGGGCUAAUACCGGAUAGGAGCUCCUGCUGCAUGGUGGGGGUUGGAAAGUUUCGGCGGUUGGGGAUGGACUCGCGGCUUAUCAGCUUGUUGGUGGGGUAGUGGCUUACCAAGGCUUUGACGGGUAGCCGGCCUGAGAGGGUGACCGGCCACAUUGGGACUGAGAUACGGCCCAGACUCCUACGGGAGGCAGCAGUGGGGAAUAUUGCACAAUGGGCGGAAGCCUGAUGCAGCAACGCCGCGUGCGGGAUGACGGCCUUCGGGUUGUAAACCGCUUUCGCCUGUGACGAAGCGUGAGUGACGGUAAUGGGUAAAGAAGCACCGGCUAACUACGUG
rnacentral:rRNA from 1 species